AAAUUUUUAUGAUGAUUUCAUAGUUCAUCUGAAGUUUUUGAUGUAUAACUAUUUUGUCUUUCGCUCCUAUCUGAUAUCAUAC